rnacentral:rRNA from 1 species
CAAUAGCGUAUAUUAAUGUUGUUGCAGUUAAAAAGCUCGUAGUUGGAUUUCUGGUGGGAGUGGCCGGUCCGCCGUAAGGUGUGUACUUGGUUGUCUCCCGUCAUCCUUGUGGGAACUGCUCUGGCAUUAAGUUGUCGGGGUUAGGGAACACAUCGUUUACUUUGAAAAAAUUAGAGUGUUAAAGCAGGCUUGCGCAAUGAAUACAUUAGCAUGGAAUAAUAAUAUAGGACUUCGGUCUCUACUUUGUUGGUUUCUGGAACUGAAGUAAUGAUUGAUAGGGAUAGUUGGGGGUGCUAGUAUUGAGCGGCCAGAGGUGAAAUUCUUAGAUUCGCUCAAGACUAACUUAUGCGAAAGCAUUCACCAAGGAUGUCUUCUUUAAUCAAGAACGAAAGUUGGGGGAUCGAAGACGAUCAGAUACC